AAGAAACAGUGUUUCCUUACCCUUAGAAAUUCUAAGGAGAAGAGAGAAAUGGGAGGUGGUGAGCCAUCGGGGACAAAUUGGACACCUGAAAUGGAAAGCUAUUUCAUUGUUCAAUGACAUAAAGAAUCUUCUUGACCAGAAUGGAUUUUCUUGGGAUGAGACUAGACAAAUGGUGAUUGCCAGUAAUAAUGUCUGGGAUUCCUAUAUCAAGGUGCAC